GGGCCCGUAGCUCAGUUGGUUAGAGCAGAGGACUCAUAAUCCUUUGGUCCACGGUUCAAGUCCGUGCGGGCCCACCA
rnacentral:tRNA from 6 species